CGAAACUUCGUUGCGAAGUUCACAAGAUUGUUGUGAAGUUCAAAAGUUCAUAAUGAGAUUCACAAACCAGUUCGUAAACUACGCAUUUGAUUGUCUUCUUUUACUUCACGGACCAAUCAGGGACUUUGUUUACAAAUUGGCUUGUGAAUUCCAAUAUGAGCUUCCGAACUUCGCAACGAACUUGCGAACUUCGCAGCGAAGUUCGGAACAUUUGUGGUCAAAGUUUCGUGAAAUCGAC